CAGUGAUAAACUGGAGGAAGGUGGGGAUGACGUCAAGUCAUCAUGGCCCUUACGACCAGGGCUACACACGUGCUACAAUGGCGCAUACAAAGAGAAGCGACCUCGCGAGAGCAAGCGGACCUCAUAAAGUGCGUCGUAGUCCGGAUUGGAGUCUGCAACUCGACUCCAUGAAGUCGGAAUCGCUAGUAAUCGUGGAUCAGAAUGCCACGGUGAAUACGUUCCCGGGCCUUGUACACACCGCCCGUCACACCAUGGGAGUGGGUUGCAAA
rnacentral:rRNA from 1 species